ACACUGCAAGUCCUCGCCAGCUGCUCUC
rnacentral:piRNA from 1 species